UACGUAGGGCGCAAGCGUUGUCCGGAAUUAUUGGGCGUAAAGAGCUCGUAGGCGGUUUGUCGCGUCUGCUGUGAAAUCCCGAGGCUCAACCUCGGGCUUGCAGUGGGUACGGGCAGACUAGAGUGCGGUAGGGGGAGACUGGAAUUCCUGGUGUAGCGGUGGAAUGCGCAGAUAUCAGGAGGAACACCGAUGGCGAAGGCAGGUCUCUGGGCCCGCAACUGACGCUGAGGAGCGAAAAGCAUGGGGGAGCGAACAGG
rnacentral:rRNA from 1 species